UCACUGGUGUUCGGGUUGUCAUGCCAAUGGCACUGCCCGGUAGCUAAAUGCGGAAGAGAUAAGUGCUGAAAGCAUCUAAGCACGAAACUUGCCCCGAGAUGAGUUCUCCCUGAGACUUWRRGUCUCCUGAAGGAACGUUGAAGACGACGACGUUGAUAGGCCGGGUGUGUAAGCGCAGCGAUGCGUUGAGCUAACCGGUACUAAUGAACCGUGAGGCUUAACCUUACAACGCCGAAG
rnacentral:rRNA from 1 species